rnacentral:rRNA from 1 species
CGGGUGAGUAAUGUCUGGGAAACUGCCUGAUGGAGGGGGAUAACUACUGGAAACGGUAGCUAAUACCGCAUAAUGUCGCAAGACCAAAGAGGGGGACCUUAGGGCCUCUUGCCAUCGGAUGUGCCCAGAUGGGAUUAGCUAGUAGGUGGGGUAAAGGCUCACCUAGGCGACGAUCCCUAGCUGGUCUGAGAGGAUGACCAGCCACACUGGAACUGAGACACGGUCCAG